rnacentral:rRNA from 1 species
AUGUAUGCCUACAACAUAGAGUUAAUGCAUGAGAUCCCAUUAGAACUCUACAGUUAAGCACGCUUGGGCUAGAAUAGUACUAGGAUGGGUAACAUCCUGGGAAGUCCUAGUGUUUUACAUG